UAGGAUGUAGUCUAACGGAAAGACCCCAUGUUUUGGCUAUGGAAAUGGUAGUUCGAUUCUACCCGUCCUAU
rnacentral:tRNA from 1 species